GACGUCACGGCCAACAUCAUGCAACAACUUCACAUUAUCCAGCACUUGCGCCAGGUGCCUGAGGCGCUGCAGGGGCUCUGCCUCUGAGGCCACCAGCAACUCCCGCUCCCUGUAAACGAGGAGUGUAGUGAGGCUGAGUGGCCUCCCUCUGAGCAGGAGAGCAAGGGCCCCCCACACGCCCCUUGGAGGGCGGAGCCUAUAUUGCCCCGCCCCCCUCGCCUGUAGGACUGUUUUUUGCCUGGCAACCAGGGCUUCUAGGAGAGUGUGUUGAGACUGAGUGGCCUCCAUCCGAGCGGGAGAGCGAGGGACCCCCUACAUGCCCCAUUGGAGGGCGGAGCCUAUAUUGCCCCGCCCCCCUCUCCGUAAGGACCGGGGUGUGGCCGGAAGUAUAAAAGGCCAGCCCUGCAGCACAGUUGGGGGAGAACCUGCAAUAGAGGAGGACGCUCGGCCUGUUCUCCGAAGGCCCCGAGAGGAACCUGCUCCCGGCUGUUCCCAAUCCCCAGGCGUGGACGAGGACUGGCCCAGAGUAUCCGCUGCGGUUUACCCCGAGGAGCCAGAAGAGGCCUGGAGGCCGCAGGAAUAGGAGCCUCCUUCCCAGCUGUGUUCCAGGCCCUGGGAUCUGGCACAGCUUCCCAGAUGGGCGCAUCUUGUAACGGAGCCACGUCAGGGAGCAGUGGGGACAGGUCACCUCGUCCCAUCCAAGCAAGCAACGCUGGCUCUCAAAGAGGCUUAGAUGGAAGACCCCAAUCCCUCAUGGAGGAAGGGGCUCCCCAAAGACGUCCUCGAAUCUGGACUCAUGAGAGCGUUUCUGGUAGGAGGCUCCAGCCCCUCGGGCAUGAAGAGAGCAUCAGGUAGUCUCGAUCACAUGGCAUCUCUGGUCUCCAGCUCCACUUCCCGCAGCAGGGCAAACAAACCCAUCAGCUCCCAGAAUCCCAACUCUUUAACUUCCUUCCGCUCAGCAGUGAGGUUUCUCCAGCCCCCUCACCACACCUGUCAGCCCCUGAAUGAUGAAGGGCCUGAAUGUCAGAGUUACCAGAACAAGCAAACUCCAGUUCCAGGCAAUGGGGCCUGUGUAUACUCAGCCCCCUGGAAACUGGGUCUGAAAUGGGGAGCAAGGACCCCAGGCCAAUAACAGCAGGAGUGGGCAGAGCAGGCAUGUAACAGGGUGCUUUCCCUUGGGCUGCACAGCCUGGGGCCUAGCCAAGCUGAUUAUAGAAUGAGCCCUAACUGAGAGGCAAAAGGGGUGAGAGGCCUGUGGGUGCAGGCUGUACAAGCAUGCAGCCGGUGACAGCGACGAGAUGGCGAGGGAUGAAGCUUGGACAAGAAUAGUACUUGCCCCUCAUGUGGGCCAGUUUCUAAGGAGGAGCAUAUAUGACAGGGGGGCUUGGCCUGUGGGCAAUAAAGCCUGGAGCUAGGUCAAAUGGAUUACAGAGUGAGCUCCACCUGAGGGGAAAGCCAGGGAAAACCGCAGCAAAGGUACAGGAGCAGGCCUACCUGUUUGGUACAGGGCCUUGGGGCAGAACCUAGAAUCCAGGGUAGGACUGGUUCUCCCAUGGUCUCUAAGGAAGGGGACGUACAAGGCCAUAGAAAGGGCUACCAAGGUCAGCAAGGGCAGGCCAAGCCAAAGUCAGGCUGAGGAAAAUCCCAAAGGGACGGAGGACCUUGUUUCGGUUAAAGACAUUUUUGGACUUUUCGUUUGGGAUGAUCGCGACCCAGGAAGGAGCAGGAAAGCUGUGACACCAGGCCUUGCCAGGAAGGGGCACCUAUCGCUUUCACAGACCUUGGGAGGCAGGCCAGUCCUCGCCCACAGACAACCUGCCAACCUUAAGCAUAUUCUCACCAGCAACCACACACUGCACCAUAACAACUCUAACUCAGGAACCAAUC